AACGCACCUUGCGCUCCUUGGUAUUCCGAGGAGCAUGCCUGUUUGAGUAUCAUUAAAUUCUCAACUCCAAGGGUUUCACGACCUCUCGGAGAUUGGACUUGGAGGUGCCGGCCGCAUACGGUCGGCUCCUCUCAAAUGCAUUGGCGGAAUUCAACCUUUGGGCUUCCGGACGUCAGUGUGAUAAUCAUGUUGCGCUGUCGUUUGACCCUCAGAGUCCGCUUAUAAUGGUCUUCGGACAAAUCAUCAUCAAAUUUGAUCUCAAAUCAGGUAGGACUACCCGCUGAACUUAA
rnacentral:misc_RNA from 1 species